rnacentral:rRNA from 1 species
UAUACGACCGUACCGCAAACCGACACUGGUGCGCGAGAUGAGUAUUCUAAGGCGCUUGAGAGAACUCAGGAGAAGGAACUCGGCAAAUUGACACCGUAACUUCGGAAGAAGGUGUGCCCUAUUAGUGUGUAGUGAACAACGAAGCAUGAAUGGGUUGCAAAAAAUCGGUGGCUGCGACUGUUUAUUAAAAACACAGCACUCUGCAAACACGAAAGUGGACGUAUAGGGUGUGACGCCUGCCCGGUGCUGGAAGAUUAAAUGAUGGGGUGCAAGCUCUUGAUUGAAGUCCCAGUAAACGGCGGCCGUAACUAUAACGGUCCUAAGGUAGCGAAAUUCCUUGUCGGGUAAGUUCCGACCUGCACGAAUGGCGUAACGAUGGCCACACUGUCUCCUCCUGAGACUCAGCGAAGUUGAAAUGUUUGUGAUGAUGCAAUCUCCCCGCGGAAAGACGGAAAGACCCCAUGAACCUUUACUGUAGCUUUGUAUUGGACUUUGAACAGAUCUGUGUAGGAUAGGUGGGAGGCUUUGAAGCAGGGUCGCUAGAUCUUGUGGAGCCAACGUUGAAAUACCACCCUGGUGUGUUUGAGGUUCUAACCUAGGUCCAUUAUCUGGAUCGGGGACAGUGCAUGGUAGGCAGUUUGACUGGGGCGGUCUCCUCCCAAAGCGUAACGGAGGAGUUCGAAGGUACGCUAGUUACGGUCGGACAUCGUGACGAUAGUGCAAUGGCAUAAGCGUGCUUAACUGCGAGACUGACAAGUCGAGCAGAUGCGAAAGCAGGACAUAGUGAUCCGGUGGUUCUGUAUGGAAGGGCCAUCGCUCAACGGAUAAAAGGUACUCUGGGGAUAACAGGCUGAUACCGCCCAAGAGUUCAUAUCGACGGCGGUGUUUGGCACCUCGAUGUCGGCUCAUCUCAUCCUGGGGCUGUAGCCGGUCCCAAGGGUAUGGCUGUUCGCCAUUUAAAGAGGUACGUGAGCUGGGUUUAAAACGUCGUGAGACAGUUUGGUCCCUAUCUUCCGUGGGCGCUGCAGAUUUGAGGAAGCCUGCUCCUAGUACGAGAGGACCGGAGUGGACACACCUCUGGUGUAUCGGUUGUCACGCCAGUGGCAUUGCCGAGUAGCUAAGUGUGGAAGAGAUAACCGCUGAAAGCAUCUAAGCGGGAAACUCGUUUCAAGAUGAGAUCUGCCGGGGCCUUGAGCCCCCUAAAGAGUCGUUCAAGACCAGGACGUUGAUAGGUCAGGUGUGGAAGCCA